AUUGAACGCUGGCGGCAUGCCUUACACAUGCAAGUCGAACGGCAGCACGGACUUCGGUCUGGUUGCGGGUUGCGAACGGGUGAGUAAUGUAUCGGAACGUACCUUUCAGUUUGGUAGAACGUAGCGAAGGUUACGCUAAUACCGCAUAUUCUGUGAGCAGGAAAGCAGGGGAUCGAAAGACCUUGCGCUGAUUGAGCGGCCGAUAUCAGAUUAGCUAGUUGGCGGGGUAAAGGCCUACCAAGGCGACGAUCUGUAGCGGGUCUGAGAGGAUGAUCCGCCACACUGGAACUGAGACACGGUCCAGACUCCUACGGGAGGCAGCAGUGGGGAAUAUUGGACAAUGGGCGCAAGCCUGAUCCAGCCAUGCCGCGUGAGUGAAGAAGGCCUUCGGGUUGUAAAGCUCUUUCGGCCGGGAAGAAAUCGCAUAGGCUAAUACCCUGCGUGGAUGACGGUACCGGAAGAAGAAGCACCGGCUAACUACGUG
rnacentral:rRNA from 1 species